CCUACGGGAGGCUGCAGUGAGGAAUAUUGGUCAAUGGGCGAGAGCCUGAACCAGCCAAGUCGCGUGAGGGAUGACGGCCCUACGGGUUGUAAACUUCUUUUGCAAGGGAGCAAAGUGCGGCACGUGUGCCUUUUUGUCUGUACUCUUAGAUAAAGGAUCGGCUAACUCCGUGCCAGCAGCCGCGGUAAUACGGAGGAUCCGAGCGUUAUCCGGAUGUAAUGGGUUUAAAGGGUGCGUAGAUGGGAUGAUAAGUCAGGCGGGAAAGUUUGCGGCUCAACCGUUAAACUGCAUUGGAUACUGGGAGUCUUGAGUGCAGGUGAGGUAGGCGGAAUUCGUGGUGUAGCGGUGAAAUGCUUAGAUAUCACGAAGAACUCCGAUUGCGAAGGCAGCGUACUGGACUGCAACUGACGUUGAUGCUCGAAAGCGUGGGUAUCAAACAGGAUUAGAUACCCCGGUAGUC
rnacentral:rRNA from 1 species